UCAGGACGAACGCUGGCGGCGUGCUUAACACAUGCAAGUCGAACGGAAAGGCCCUUCGGGGUGCUCGAGUGGCGAACGGGUGAGUAACACGUGGGUGAUCUGCCCUGCACUUUGGGAUAAGCCUGGGAAACUGGGUCUAAUACCGAAUAUGAUCGCUGGCUUCAUGGCUGGUGGUGGAAAGCUUUUGCGGUGUGGGAUGGGCCCGCGGCCUAUCAGCUUGUUGGUGGGGUAAUGGCCUACCAAGGCGACGACGGGUAGCCGGCCUGAGAGGGUGUCCGGCCACACUGGGACUGAGAUACGGCCCAGACUCCUACGGGAGGCAGCAGUGGGGAAUAUUGCACAAUGGGCGCAAGCCUGAUGCAGCGACGCCGCGUGAGGGAUGACGGCCUUCGGGUUGUAAACCUCUUUCGCCAGGGACGAAGCGCAAGUGACGGUACCUGGAGAAGAAGCACCGGCCAACUACGUGCCAGCAGCCGCGGUAAUACGUAGGGUGCGAGCGUUGUCCGGAAUUACUGGGCGUAAAGAGCUCGUAGGUGGUUUGUCGCGUUGUUCGUGAAAACUCACAGCUUAACUGUGGGCGUGCGGGCGAUACGGGCAGACUGGAGUACUGCAGGGGAGACUGGAAUUCCUGGUGUAGCGGUGGAAUGCGCAGAUAUCAGGAGGAACACCGGUGGCGAAGGCGGGUCUCUGGGCAGUAACUGACGCUGAGGAGCGAAAGCGUGGGGAGCGAACAGGAUUAGAUACCCUGGUAGUCCACGCCGUAAACGGUGGGUACUAGGUGUGGGUUUCCUUCCUUGGGAUCCGUGCCGUAGCUAACGCAUUAAGUA
rnacentral:rRNA from 1 species